GAUGAACGCUAGCGGCAGGCCUAAUACAUGCAAGUCGAACGGUGUAGCAAUACACAGUGGCGCACGGGUGCGUAACACGUAUGCAACCUACCUUACAUUGGGGGAUAGCCUUUCGAAAGGGAGAUUAAUGCCGCGUAAGACAGUAACUAGGCAUCUAGUACCUGUUAAAGAUUUAUCGAUGUAAGCUGGGCAUGCGUCCAAUUAGUUAGUUGGCGAGGUAAUGGCUCACCAAGACGAUGAUUGGUAGGGGAACUGAGAGGUCAAUCCCCCACACUGGCACUGAGAUACGGGCCAGACUCCUACGGGAGGCAGCAGUAGGGAAUAUUGGGCAAUGGGCGCAAGCCUGACCCAGCCAUGCCGCGUGCAGGAAGAAGGCGUUAUGCGUUGUAAACUGCUUUUAUACAGGAAGAAACGACCCUUGCGAGGGGCAUUGACGGUACUGUAUGAAUAAGCACCGGCUAACUCCGUGCCAGCAGCCGCCGCGGUAA
rnacentral:rRNA from 1 species